AGGCCGCUGGGGGCGCCAGAGAGGCGCAGAGUGCGCGGGGCCGGGGAGAGCGCGGAGUCCAGCAGGCUGAGAGCAGAGCCUGAGUGCGCGGCUGGUUCAGUGGGGCAGGGUCACCUCGCAAGGAUGCUGCACCCCGCCGCCCUGUCCAGCCAGCAACCCGGAGACUGGUGCAACUCCGGAAAGAAGCAAAGGUUCUUUCGCCCAGUCGCCGCUGGAGGACCGAAAGUUUUGCUCGCUGCAAAUCCCUUCCUCCCAAAGUCCCAGUCACCCACCGCGCGACGUCCUGGAAGGAUCCCGGAGGUUUAGUGGGGACGAAAUCGGCUGGUUCGCACCCCUCCAUCCUUAUCUCUCAGGACAGAGCGGGAGCUCUAGCGAGUACACCUCCCACCUACCAUCCGCUUCACCCUGUCUCAUUUCUCGGUGAGCCUUGGAACCCGAUCGCUUAGCAGAUGCCUUCAGGAAGCAGAAGCAAAGGGGAAAUGGACUUAACUCCAAGAAUCAGAUAGUGAAUGUCCACCCUCAGCAAAGGCUUUGCCGCUGUGACCUUCUUUGAUCUCACCCCACCACUACAACGAGGGAGGCCUAAACCUUGUCCACUGGCAGCAUUUGAAGAUCCAGUUGCUGCUAUGGGUUGGAAGGCACCUGUGGAGUGAAAGAGGACAUAGCCACGUAAGUACAGCAUCUUAUUGCUGCCUGGUUAUUUGUAAGCCAUCGUUUUCCUACUCCAAAUCAAGGGCUUCCUGGGGCUUAGGCACAACACUACAGACAGCCCUUAUCCCCAGUUCAUGGAUGAUGAAAUCGAGCCCCUCAGAGACGCUCCUUCCCAUUGUCUCCCCCAGUUCCCUAGACAUCAAACGCCCAGCCAGCGCUCUUUCCGCCAUUCACGUCACAGGCAUUAUAGAUUUCUUACAACAACCUGCCUGGAAAAUGGCUGUGCGGUGGCAUCAGGAAUGUGCAGGCUCUCUAAGGCUCACAGUGGAUUAGACAGACCAGAGAGGGGACGGUGUCACUGAUGACUAUGCAUGAGUCACCAACUCCACUGAGAGUUUUACACUUUGUGAGAACAGGAGUCACUCACCCUGUGACCACACAGAGAGACUGCUCUGUGCAGUACAGAGCGGUCUCCAAGAGCGUGUUUAAGUUGGCCAUUUCCCAAGAACUCUCUCAUACUGGAGAGAUACAAUGCUUUGGGUCACGGAAUAAUAAGAUGGCCUUGGUUCUAAUGUUGCUUGAUUCACCCUACACUGGACUAGGAGGAGACACUGACAUACAUCAGCUUAAUAAAUCUGACACUGAGGAGGGGCAGUGUGUGUGGUUUCAAUUACAGAUUGACCCAGGAUUGAUUGAACUGUCUGCUCUGCUCUGGCAGGGAUGGAGUCCAAGGAUUGGCUGGACUCUUGUGAGAGGUGGGUAUUGAAGCAUCAAUCAGCUGAUGGGCUCCAUGUCGCUUUGUAUCCUGGGAGAAUCAAAUUAUGAGUAAAAUGCCACAGUGACAUGGGAACAAUGACACCAGGAGGAUUAGCUCAGCCUGCCCCAGUGUUCAUUCAUUCCUUGUACCUGCACAGCCCCACCAAAACAAACCUUCCCUGCCCCCUGUCCUGUUCUCACCUUGUUCUUUAUCUUUAGUGUGACCACACCCACAUGUUUAGCCUUGUGUGAAAUUUCAGCAUGCAGGAGACUGAGACAUAAGGAUCACAAGUUCAAGGCCACCCUGUGCUAUGUGUCAAGACCUUGUUUUAAACAAAGGAAAAGGGAAGGAAAAAAAAACAGCAGUACAUAUUUUUCCUAAAUGUAGGACUCUUGGCUCUUCCAGGACCAUGUCUGCCUGCACCCUGCCAUGCUUCCUGCCCUGAUGAUAAUGGACUGAACUUCCGCAACUUGCUGGGGAUUGAACCCACGGCCCCCGCACAUUCCAGGCAAAUGCUCUGCCACCUGGCUACAACUCCAGCUCUUUCUACACUUUUACAGAGUCUUACUAAGUUGCUCAGGGUGACCUUGCACUUGGGAGGCCCAAGCAGGACUUCAGACUAUCAUUCUCCUGCCUUAGCCUCUCCAAGGGCUGGGAUUACAGGUGUGUACCACUAAGUCUGGAGGACUGGGUGAGACCAAGACAGGAUUGCUCUGUGUAGUCCAGGCUGUCCUCAAACUCAGAGAUCUACCUGCCUCUGCCUCCGGAGUGCUGGAGUGCACCACCACCACCUGGCCCAGUUAUAGACUUUUUUUUAAAAAGACCAAAUUUUUAACAAAAGUAAGGUGUGGAAUUGUUAGAAUCUUGUCUGGUACUUUCAAACGCCAGAGCUCCAUUUUCAAAUGUCACAGCCUGGGCAUCAUGGCUAGGUGAGGCUUAGCUUUUGUUCCUAUUUCUAUAAGUCAGUGAAUCUCUCUGAAGGCAUUUGGUCACUUUGCAAGCACACAGAGAAGGCACAUUGUAUACAUUCUGUCUCUCCACUGAAAAGCUGUGUUCUUCCAUUAGGGAGGGCCAGCAAGGAAGCUGGAAAGGGACUUGUCUAGGUUUUAUACAGAGCGAAUCAUGUUGUCCCUUUGAUGCGCUUCAUAGAGGCUAUCAUAUACACUCAAAACAAAAUCCCCACUGGCAAUAACACAUCACAGAUAGCCUCAGCUUACUGUGGCUCUUCAAGCCAGUGGCAUGGCUUCUCUGGGUUCACGUGGCAGAGCAGAGGAGGAUAGGUGGCCCAAUUGCAUGCCCAGUUCCAGACAGGAGUGAUAAGAUUCAAACUUGCUCUGGACUCUGGGGUAAACCAAGUAUGGGCCUCUAAGACCUUGUCUUUGCUCUCAGAGUUUGACAUGAUAAUCCUGCUUGCUCUUUGGACCUCCCUGGCUACAAUAGGCACAGAGAAAGAAGAGAACCCUCCUCCACCUACAAAUCCCCGUAGUAUCCCAUUCUAUCAGCCCCCUUGUUCCUGCAUGGGGAGGGAGUGGAGACCUCAGCUACCAAGCAGAACAGGUAUAAAACCCAGGCCAUUCAGAUCUGGGCAGAGUGAUCCUAGGGAAGGGGCAGAGACUGCAAGUCUGAGAUGCAAAAUACCUGUCCUAGCCUCAGGGAACCCCAAGACUAGGACCAGGGACCAGGAUACUCUGGACAUGGCUGGAUGAGGGAUUAUGGGGGCAAGGGAGGAGCUUAAGACUCACUUUUCUUUUUCUGCUAGCAGGGAGCCAGGUUCUGUAGCAACUGUGGAUAUAGCCAGGACAGAAGGACUUCCUAUGCUCUGGCCCAAUCUCCUUUGAAAGAAAUAGGCUAAUGUCAGUUCUCUACCCAACCCACCCAGCCCACCAACCUACCCCCUCACCUCACCCUGUCCUCCUAUUUGAAAUUAUGGACGAGGAGGGAGUCAUCACACUGCAGCCCAGCCUGCUCUGACUCCCAGACAACAAGAGUGAACUUCAUGUUCUGCAGCGGGGGGGAUAACCCUAAAAGCUGACCCUGGGAGGUGCCCGGCAGCAUGUGGAGUGGCAGCCUCUAAUGAGGAGCUUUCUGUGGUUUCUGAGGGGGUAGAGAAUAGGAAGCCACUUACAUGGAAGGAACUGGAGCCCUGACAUUUUUUUCUCUUUGAGGUUGGAGCUGGGAGGGAAGGCAGAUAGCAGCACCUGCCAUCCACACUCAGUCACAAAGCAUUCGCUGAGCUCUUCUUUAAGGCUGACCCUGCCAGAGGGGAAAUCAGAAGUUCAAAACACAUGUCUCCACCCUGCAAAGGGGUUUCCAGAGCUGCUAGACAUCUCUGGUGGCCUGAAGACAUCAGGCGCAAUCCAUUAACCCUGUGAAUGUUGACUGUUGCGGUUGCACAGCAAAGCCUUUGCAGAGAUGAUCAACUAUGGGUCCCCCGGGUUGGCUCCUGAGACAGUAAAUGUUAUCCUGUGUUACAACAGAAGAGAAAGACUGAGGGGGAUUUUAUAAUGGCACAUGCACAAGGCCAGGGUGAUGAAAAAAUGGUGUACAAAAAGACUUGAAGUUGUGUGUGAGGAGGAGGCAGCCACAAGCACAGAAGCACUGACCGGCAGAAGCAUCUGCAGGGGCAAGGACCGGCUUCUUGUAUACAAACUGUACUGGGCAUGUGGCCUUGAAUUUGGCCUAGUUAAAAGAAAAUUGUUAGACUUCUGACUUCCCAGAACUGUUAGAGAGUAAGUCUAAGUUGCUUUAUGCCUCCAGAUCUGUGAUAAUUUGUUAUAGUAGCCCCAGGGCUAUCCUUGCAGAUGAAGUAGAAGCCUUGGUCUAAAGCCACUUCGGUCCUGCUGGCAAUUGUGAAUAAAAUACAUUGUUGAGAUUGAACGCGGACAAAACUGUCUUCCUAAGUCAGCAAAGGGACCCACGUGGAGUGUGGUGUUGUUUGUGCAAAGGCCCCAGAGCUCAACACCAGCAGAAAGUGUGGCAUGACUGACAGAGCUGUCAGCAGAGACAACAUGAACCUGCAAUGACUUCAAGAACAGGGCCCCCCUCCAGGGGCAUGGCCAGUGUGCUGCUCCCAGAGCUGCGGCUGGGUAGCACAGCUUAUGGGGUCAUAGGAACAGUUUAUUCACUUAUUCAAUCAAUUAAUACAUGUUUAAUGAGCACCUAUCAAGUUCCCAGCACCAACCAGGCUUUGGGGAAAUAACAGUGACUAGGCUGUAGACAGCGAAGGCCUCACAGAACUUGGGGAUACAGCACCUUUGCUGUGUAAUUAUUAUCUUUCCAUUAUUAUUAAAGUUUUUAGAUUAUUUAUUGUUAGUAAUAAAACAGCAAAAAGCAAUUAUAGAAAUAUAUAGUAGCUGGGUGGAGGUGGGGUGGUACACACCUGUAAUCCUGGCACUCAGGAGGUAAAGGCUGGGAGAUCUGAAUUAGAGGCAAACCUGGUCUUCCAAGUAAGUUCCAGGGCAGCUAGAGGUACAGAGAGAAACCUGUCUCAAAAAACAAAAACACACAAACAAACCAUAGUCUUCUAGAUUUGGUUUUUAGUUUAGUGCAUCCUGAGUACCUUCUUUCACAAAUACACUCACUCCUUUUUAAAGGUUGAGUAGUAGUCUACACUAUGAGCUCACCGCAGUGUAACUAUGGUCUUCUUGGUAGAGCUUGUCUGUACUGUAAGUAAUAUUCAAAGAAAAUUACCCUGCAUGUCUUUCUGUAGCCUCCGGGUACAUUUUAAAGGGCAAAUGCAUAGAAGUGAAAUGUGGGUCAAAGGGGGCUGAAUAAUUUAAUCGAGACGUCACAGAGGUGAGCGCACAUGUCUACACCCGCAGCAACACAGGUGCCAGUGGUGGACAUCCUGCCUGAUGGGAGCGACAGCUGCUUGUUUAAAUGAACCAUUUUAACCUCUAAUUCAGCCGAUGUUAAGCAGCCUCCCGGGAACUAGUCCAAGGCCUUAUAAAGUGUGUGCUGUGACCCCAGAUGGUGUCAUGAGGCUAAAUCUGAAGGUCUCAAAGGCUUUGGCCAUAUUCAAAGGUCACUGAAUGUACAACGACUAAAAAGUGGUUCUGAGCCACAAGACAAUGCGCUUAGCAGCGCCCACAGCUGCCACAUCACGUGCCCUCAUGCAGCCUGGUUCUGAACACAAGGCUGACGGCUCCUACCUGGAAAAGCUCAGCUCAGAUUUGAGCUACAACUACUAUAAAUUAGAGUGUUCUCGUGCACAUGCAAGGUUUUCUGCUUAUAUCGACACAUCAGGGUCAAACUGUGGAAAACAGUCUUUUCCUACCAUCUUUCCUCAGCUCGUGGGUAUGAAGUUAGCAUGUCUUGGACUGCUUUACCUUAGAAAGUUUGACUUUCAGAACUGUUGUUUGAGUUUCGUAGAAAUCAUUCAAUGAAUCAUGGUGUGGGAUUAGUACAGAAUCUGUAAUAAUUCUGAGGUGGCCCCAGUCAUCCUCCCAACAUUUUGUACUAUGCGUUUGUGAGAGGCAGCAUUGUUGGUAUUGACAGUCAUAGGAAUCACAAUAUUGACCAACUCUGGAAGACAUUGGAAGUGUUGUAGAUCCUACAAUAUCAAGUAUUCAGCCAAGAUUUGGUCCAACAAGCAUGGUGUCCAAUUAAUGUGCAAAUUUACUUUAAUCAUUAAUAAAUAUAUGGCAUAGAAUUGCUUUAAAAUAAAUUCCUUUAUGAUUUAUUAUC
rnacentral:sRNA from 1 species